rnacentral:lncRNA from 1 species
AUCUGAAGGAUGCACACAAUUAAAUUCUUUUUUAAUUUAAAAUGGCACUUUACACUCCCACUGAGCUAAAGACCAUCUCUAUAUAUAGUGAGUUUUUUAAUUCUUUAAAACACAAAUUGUUUGUGUUUAAAACAUGCAAGUUGUUUGCUCUCACUGGUACCUCUCAGCUCACACUUCAGGGUUUCCAUACAGGGAAGUUCUAUCUUGUGCAAUGUUUCUAGUUAAUUUCCUUUCUGAGCCAUUUAUCUUACUGCACUUUGAACAAGUACAUUAAUUCUGAUUUAAACUUUACUUUAAAAAAUAGAACCUUCAAGUGAAACGUUCAUUGUUAUUUUAUUUAUUACAUCAUUAUGUUGUAUAAUAUUCAGUGUAAUGUUAAUAAGCUAUGAGAAAUGGUGCUGAUUUUAUUAGCCAUUUGUUAUAAAUGCCAAUAAGAUGUUCACCAGGGGUAAGAAUAUACAUUAUCUUUUUAGAAAACCAAGUGUACCUUAUAAGCAAAUGUAACUAUUUACUGGGCAUAUAUGAUUUAAAGGACAUUUUCAUCUGUGUUAGUCCUUUUGUGUUAGAAGAUUCAGAUUUCAACUUGGUCUUCUUUCAAACUGUUUGUGAAGAUGCUGUGCCCACUUGAACAGUCCUCAGGUGUUUGUAUAAGCACUAUGUUUUACAGUUUUUAG